rnacentral:rRNA from 1 species
GGUCAGGCGGGACCACCCGCUGAGUUUAAGCAUAUCA